rnacentral:rRNA from 1 species
AGAGUUUGAUCAUGGCUCAGAAUCAACGCUGGCGGCGCGCUUAACACAUGCAAGUCGCACGAGAAAGGGAGCAAUCCUGAGUAAAGUGGCGUACGGGUGAGUAACACGUGGAUCAUCUACCUUUUAGUGGGGAAUACCCCCGGGAAACUGGGGACAAUACCGCAUAAGCUCGUGAGAGGAAAGCAGCAAUGCGCUGAAAGAGGAGUCCGCGGCUGAUUAGCUAGUUGGUGAGGUAACGGCCCACCAAGGCGAAGAUCGGUAGCCGGCCUGAGAGGGCACACGGCCACACUGGCACUGAAAUACGGGCCAGACUCCUACGGGAGGCAGCAGUGGGGAAUCUUGCACAAUGGAGGAAACUCUGAUGCAGCGACGCCGCGUGAACGAUGAAGCCCUUCGGGGUGUAAAGUUCUUUCGACGGGAACGAUAAUGACGGUACCCGAAGAAGAAGCUGCGGCUAACUACGUGCCAGCAGCCGCGGUAAUACGUAGGCAGCAAGCGUUGUUCGGAAUUACUGGGCGUAAAGAGUGCGUAGGCGGUGCUCUAAGUCUGUUGUGAAAUCUCCCGGCUUAACUGGGAGGGUGCAGCGGAAACUGGAGUGCUUGAGGGUGGGAGAGGUAAGCGGAAUUCCUGGUGUAGCGGUGAAAUGCGUAGAUAUCAGGAGGAACACCUGGUGUAGACAGCUUACUGGACCACUUCUGACGCUGAGGCACGAAAGCGUGGGUAGCAAACAGGAUUAGAUACCCCGGUAGUCC